CAGUUUGACCGCAGCGGUCUCUGAGACUGGCAGAACCGUCUGAACGGAGCCUUUGCCGAACGAUUGAGUUCCCACGAUGACGGCACGGCUGUGAUCCUGUAAAGCACCAGCGACAAUUUCUGACGCUGAGGCAGAACCACCGUUAAUUAGCACAACAAUAGGGAUGUCUGGCACUAGAGUGUCUUUGCGCGCUUCGUAGCGGACAUCUGACAUAGGCGAGCGCCCUUCGGUGUAGACGAUCAGGCCUUCUGAAAUAAAGGUAUCGACGACAACAACUGCGGCCUGGAGUACUCCGCCCGGAUUGUUACGC
rnacentral:ncRNA from 1 species